GACAGAGGUGCCGAGCGUUAGGCGGAAUCACUGGGCUUAAAGCGUGUGUAGGCGGGUCGUUAAGUGCCUUGUGAAAUCCCACAGCUCACCUGUGGAACUGCUUGGCAUACUGGCGAUCUUGAGCCACUUAGGGGCAACCGGAACAAACGGUGGAGCGGUGAAAUGCGUAGAUAUCUGGAGGAACACCGGUGGCGAAGGCGGCAUCCUGGACCAAUAUUGACGCUGGAGGAGCGAAAGCCAGGGGAGCGAACGGG
rnacentral:rRNA from 1 species